UCCUGGUCCCCCCUGGGAUGGCCAGAGCAGGAACCUACCCGAGAGGGUCUCGUGCCUUUUAAUGACCCCGUGUUGGUCAACAGAUGCUCAGCCAAGUCGGAUGAGACCGGGUUCUGCCCUUGGUGUCCAUGUUGCUAGCUGGGGCAGGCAAAGGCAUGAACUUGCAAAGUCUCGGCUUAAUUCCUGGCACUCUGAGGUCCACCUCCUUCCUGAGGCUGGUGGUUACCGUGCUAAUCAGCUAGGCCGCAACGGCUAUUAGACAUGGCCGCGUGGGGAGUCCCGCCAGCCCAGCCCCGUCACCAUGGGCUGCCUUGAGCAGCUCCCCCAGCACCAGGCACUCCAAAUGCUGAGCAGCGGAGUCUGCCCAUGAAGGGUGGACGCACUCCCCCUGCUUCCGUAUUCAGGGGUCCCAGGCAAGGAGCCUGUCCUUACUAUACCACACAUGGAGGGAAGGAGGCUGGACCAUACCAGAAUGUCCCUCCCCACGGAGCCCAGAGCUGCAGGUCUUGAUGCCAAGAGGAGAUUUCCAUUUGGCCUCUUCCAGUCCAUGCCACGUGACCCACAAGAAAGAACAGAGCUGGGACGCAGGUCCCCGGGACUGGCAUCUUCGUGCUGCAUCACACAGCGGCCUUUCAGCACCUCCUCUGUUCAAGGGAAGCCAACAAACCUGCUCCCUGGACUUUGUGGGACAGAGGCCGCCACUCUGGGGAACAUUCCAUCCAGUUCUGGACCCAGGAGGGCUCAUCAUGUAUUCAUCUCAGCCCUUUGCAUUUGAAAAGAGAAGGUUUUCAGGCCAGGAAGCCAGAAGGGUAAACAUGUUGCCAUGGAGUUCUGUUUAAAAUAAAAUACAAUGGAAAGAAAAGCAGCAUGAUGAAGUAACCACAUGGACUGCAGGAUACACCUGAUACUAAUUACUGUCAUGCAGAAUGUUCUGGAAGACAUUUGACUCGCCUGAUGUAUACAUUCAAAUCAAGCAAAGUAGGACUGGAAGACUCCUUGGGGACCAUCUUGUCCAAGUCUUUCCUUUUUCCAGAUGAGGAAGUAGGGGCCCAGAGAGAGGGAGGGCCUGGACCUCAGCCUCCCAGCGCGGAAGGAGAAGAGCCGGGAUUCAAACCCGUGGUGCCUUGUAGGAAACCCAUAAUUUCCACGGUCUUUUUCCUUCAGCUGUCAGUAAGGCCCCGAAAUAGAAGAGUGGGGUUUACUGUGAACCUCGAAGGAGCAGGCUCAAGAGCCAGAGGGCCCAGAAUACUACGGCAGG